GGGAACGUACCCUUUGGUUCGGAAUAACGCUGGGAAACUAGCGCUAAUACCGGAUACGCCCUUUUGGGGAAAGGCUUGCUGCCGAAGGAUCGGCCCGCGUCUGAUUAGCUAGUUGGUGGGGUAAUGGCCUACCAAGGCGACGAACAGUAGCUGGUCUGAGAGGAUGAUCAGCCACACUGGGACUGAGACACGGCCCAGACUCCUACGGGAGGCAGCAGUGGGGAAUAUUGGACAAUGGGCGCAAGCCUGAUCCAGCCAUGCCGCGUGAGUGAUGAAGGCCUUAGGGUUGUAAAGCUCUUUUGUCCGGGACGAUAAUGACGGUACCGGAAGAAUAAGCCCCGGCUAACUUCGUGCCAGCAGCCGCGGUAAUACGAAGGGGGCUAGCGUUGCUCGGAAUCACUGGGCGUAAAGGGCGCGUAGGCGGCCAUUCAAGUCGGGGGUGAAAGCCUGUGGCUCAACCACAGAAUUGCCUUCGAUACUGUUUGGCUUGAGUUUGGUAGAGGUUGGUGGAACUGCGAGU
rnacentral:rRNA from 1 species